UCAGGGUCGAGGUUGCGGUCCGCAUCGCCUCCUGCCCCAGAUCGGAUUAGGUGUGCAGUUGCCUACAUAUGCCUGUGGCCUCAAGGCCAUGUAGAAAUUGUCCCUGGUUCAGCCAAAGCAAAUUCAACUGUGCUUUUUCCCCAAGUCUGCAUUCAGUGACAUCAUGUUGGUGGAUUGAAAUCAGCCACAGUGGGAAUAUUUACACCACAGAAAUGGGCAGCAACCACCACAAAUCAGGGCUUUAUUCAUUAUUUGGUUGACUAUCUAGACUUAAGAGGCAGGGAACCCACGGAGAGUGAGAAUUUGGAGAUUCAGGAAAAGAGGGUACAUGACACGAGGCAGGAGGGUGCAAGGCUGGAGAGAUCAGAGGAUGUAGAAUGAGAAAACCACCUCAUCGAAAAGGGUCUUUGGGUUGUCUUCUACCAGGAAGAGUUUUUAAAUAGGAGUAGCCAGCUACUAGACAGCACCUACUACACGGCAUCUUAGGUGCUCAACACCUAUUCUGUUGAGUAGAAAAUACUAUCACCACCACCAUUCUAGAAGUCUUUUCUUUUAUUGUCCCACCAAUGCGAAGAUACUUCAAAGGCAGAGAGGAGGAGGAAAUGGG
rnacentral:lncRNA from 1 species